rnacentral:miRNA from 1 species
UACAAGACAUAUGUUUUCUUGA